ensembl:lncRNA
UUAGCAUAUUGAAGUCUAGCUCAGAAAAGUGUUCCUCCCUAAAACACGCAUUUUGUUAAAAGCUGUUCAGUGCCCAUAGCCACUCUGCUGAUCUCGAAAUAUGUUCCCCUCGCAGGGCAGAGCUAACCUGUGCAUAUGGAAUGAGCUCCGCUUAAUGUUGUGUUAAAAGAGUUUGGUCUCUGGAGCAGUCGCUCGUCUUAAUAACACGUAAUCAUAUCCCAUCUAUUUAGUUUUCAUUUAACUUGCCCCAUGCAAGUAAUGAAUCCAGUUUAAUUAAAUGUUCCUUUAAACAGUGAAAUGACACUGGUUUGUAGUUUAAAAAAUCUAUACGCCACAGGGCACCCUCAAGACACAAAAUCCUAAUAAAGAGGAUGUAAGACGUACAGCUAAUAAUACAGAGCAAGUUUGACAUUUGCAGGGUAAUUUAGUGAAACAAGUGCUUCCUUACAGGCUUCGUGCAGGAUCACGGUGGCUGCAGCACCGCUUAUUAGAAGAUGAAGAGCCCUGUUUGUAAUAACGCUAAUAAACAACUCAUCUGAAAAUGAGGACAGCGUAAGGGAGAAGAGAAAAGCGAGGCAGAAAUGAGUGGGAAAUGUUCGUUUUUCUCUGUUAGAAAAAUCAGGAACUUUAAUAAGGUGGAAACAAACGAUACUGCUGCUCCUUGACUUGCCUCUCCCAGCACCUACUGAAGCUGUGCUCGUGCAUUCUCUCAGAGAAAAGCCUCCAGGUGACAUUUUGUGCUCCUGACCUACACCUACUUCCAACUGGAAAUGGGAGGAAAGUCCUUCCAGAGAGCCAGCAUGGGGCAGUUCAAUGUAUACUUAUUUGUAUAAUAGUCUCUUUCCCAAAACAAUGAGCAUAAGAGCAUUUCUGCUGAGGUAAAAAUGCUGUAGAGCAAACAAUGCAG